UUUUAUGGAGAGUUUGAUCCUGGCUCAGGAUGAACGCUGGCGGCGUGCCUAAUACAUGCAAGUCGAGCGAACAGAUGAGGAGCUUGCUCCUCUGACGUUAGCGGCGGACGGGUGAGUAACACGUGGAUAACCUACCUAUAAGACUGGGAUAACUACGGGAAACCGGAGCUAAUACCGGAUAAUAUAUUGAACCGCAUGGUUCAAUAGUGAAAGACGGUUUUGCUGUCACUUAUAGAUGGAUCCGCGCCGCAUUAGCUAGUUGGUAAGGUAACGGCUUACCAAGGCAACGAUGCGUAGCCGACCUGAGAGGGUGAUCGGCCACACUGGAACUGAGACACGGUCCAGACUCCUACGGGAGCAGCA
rnacentral:rRNA from 1 species